CGGUAUAAGGUGUGGUUAGCCUUGUAUUAGGAUUUACUCCGAAAGCAAGGAAACUUACAACAAAGAGUCCCUCCCGACUGUUUACCAAAAACACAGCACUCUGCUAACUCGUAAGAGGAUGUAUAGGGUGUGACGCCUGCCCGGUGCUCGAAGGUUAAUUGAUGGGGUUAGCAUUAGCGAAGCUCUUGAUCGAAGCCCGAGUAAACGGCGGCCGUAACUAUAACGGUCCUAAGGUAGCGAAAUUCCUUGUCGGUUAAAUACCGACCUGCAUGAAUGGCGUAACGAGAUGGGAGCUGUCUCAAAGAGGGAUCCAGUGAAAUUGUAGUGGAGGUGAAAAUUCCUCCUACCCGCGGCAAGACGGAAAGACCCCGUGGACCUUUACUACAGCUUGACACUGCUACUUGGAUAAGAAUGUGCAGGAUAGGUGGGAGGCUUUGAGUAUAUGACGCCAGUUGUAUAUGAGCCAUUGUUGAGAUACCACUCUUUCUUAUUUGGGUAGCUAACCAGCUUGAGUUAUCCUCAAGUGGGACAAUGUCUGGUGGGUAGUUUGACUGGGGCGGUCGCCUCCCAAAUAAUAACGGAGGCUUACAAAGGUUGGCUCAGAACGGUUGGAAAUCGUUCGUAGAGUAUAAAGGUAUAAGCCAGCUUAACUGCAAGACAUACAAGUCAAGCAGAGACGAAAGUCGGUCUUAGUGAUCCGGUGGUUCUGUGUGGAAGGGCCAUCGCUCAAAGGAUAAAAGGUACCCCGGGGAUAACAGGCUGAUCUCCCCCAAGAGCUCACAUCGACGGGGAGGUUUGGCACCUCGAUGUCGGCUCAUCGCAUCCUGGGGCUGGAGCAGGUCCCAAGGGUAUGGCUGUUCGCCAUUUAAAGCGGUACGCGAGCUGGGUUCAGAACGUCGUGAGACAGUUCGGUCCCUAUCUGCCGUGGGCGUAAGAAGAUUGAAGAGAUUUGACCCUAGUACGAGAGGACCGGGUUGAACAAACCACUGGUGUAGCUGUUGUUCUGCCAAGAGCAUCGCAGCGUAGCUAAGUUUGGAAAGGAUAAACGCUGAAAGCAUCUAAGCGUGAAGCCAACUCUAAGAUGAAUCUUCUCUAAGCUCUCUAGAAGACUACUAGUUUGAUAGGCUGGGUGUGUAAUGGAUGAAAGUCCUUUAGCUGACCAGUACUAAUAGAGCGUUUGGCUUAUCUUUAAUAAAGCAU
rnacentral:rRNA from 1 species